GAAAUGCGAUAAGUAAUGUGAAUUGCAGAAUUCAGUGAAUCAUCGAAUCUUUGAACGCACAUUGCGCCCGCCAGCACUCUGGCGGGCAUGCCUGUUCGAGCGUCAUUUCAACCCUCAGAACCCCUUGCGGGAUCUGGCGUUGGGGAUUGGCAUCCCGCCAGCCCCGAAAUCUAGUGGCGGUCCCUCCGCGACCUCCCCUGUGCAGUAGCGAUACCUCGCAGCGGGACAGCGGUCUGACCACGCCGUAAAACCCCCAACUUCUCAAGGUUGACCUCGAAUCAGGUAGGAAUACCCGCUGAACUUAAGC
rnacentral:misc_RNA from 1 species